rnacentral:tRNA from 1 species
GGGGUUGUGGCUCACUGGUAGAGCACUUACUUGCCUGGUGUGCGUGAGAUCCUGAGUUCAAAUCUCAGCACCA